GUCCCUGCGGGCCGUUCCGCUCCGCAGAAAUCCCCUUCUCGAGUCCGUGGCCGAGAAAUGCAACACGGCUGCAGGAUUGGAACGAAGAGCCUCUGAAAUAGAGGCCCCCAGCACAAUGCAAUCAGGCUGCUAUAAAAGGCAACACAUGCCAGUUUUCCUCCCCAAUGGCAGAUGCCACACCCUCGAGCAGACAGAAGGCACUGCAGUCUGUGCAUGGUAAGCACAACACAAAGCAGCGAUGGUUCGAUUUUGUAGAUCACAAAUAAUGUUGAAAUUCCUCUUGCCAUCUUUGCUCAGAUGAUGAGUGGUAGUGUUUGUUAAAUUCAAAUCCUCCUUUCCAAAAGCUCUCAUUGUAUGCAUGAAUUAUGAAUUUAUUAUAAUAUAAUGUAAGAAAGCUCUAAUUGCCAUGCAUAUUAUCUGCUGCAAAAUGAUUGUGCUGAUAUUUGAUAUCAUAAGUGUGCAGUUUCAACUUUAGUUCCAUUUUCAUUGUUUCUUCAAUGUAAUUAUUUUCCAUACGCCAACAUUGUCCAAGCAUGGAUUCUUUUCUCAUUUUUUUCCCUGAUGAAUUACAAACUCCCGUGCUGUGGGAUCCUUUUUCAGGAUAAACAGUAUAAUUUUCUGAAGAUGUUGUUGGCCAUUGGUGUGCGACAUUGGCUGUGAUGUCUGCACAGGCCCCUGAGCCCUGGUGAAAGUUAGCAGUGUCCCUAUUGGGUCAUUGCAGUAGCUUUUAAGUCAUACAGAGUGACAGCAAAGAGAGAUACAGAAUGCAAACCAAUGGUUUAAGAGCUCCAAGGCGUUAUUUUAGAGAUACUGGAAAAAGCAUUGUUGUGCUUCUUAAUUUAUAUGUAUGUAUUGUACAUGUAUAUAUGUAUUACAUGAGAACACAGUCAGAGGUUUGGGAGCCUGUUGCAUCUGACCUGGAUAUCCACAAGAGUCUUAAAAAUCCCUUUAUUCCUUUUUGUUUGGUUCUUGUUUUGCUUUCUGUUUAAAUCUACUGUGCGGUUAGAUGAAACAGUUGUCAAAUUCACCGUAAUUCUCAGUUUCCUCCUUUAGACUGGCAUUAGAGUUAAUGAGCAAAAAAGAGAGAAGUAUGUGGACUUUUAUUAAAUUAUCACUUCUUUUACUAGUUAAACACCCAAUCCAAAUCGUUCCGAAGUCAGUGCAAAUCUUUUAAUUGAUUUCAAUAAGGCAUAAAUCAAAUCACAGAAAAGUAAGCAGCCAGCUCCGAGCUCUAACUUUGUGCUUUAGCUCGGUAUUUGGAGCUCCAGUAAGGGGAAUUUCCCUUUAAGAGAACAUUUAUGUGGUCGACACGCACAUAAAUAUAACAUAGCAGUAUUUUCUUUAUUAUGUAAUAUUUACAUUUCAGUCGCAAAUGGAAUAUGUAAACUAUUGCAGUUGAUACCAAGCUGAUAAGCAGGAAUCUGUUAGGUGUAAAGGCUGCUUGUGAGCGUAAUCAUUUUAUUUCGGCUGGUCAUAAUGAACUUGGAAAAAACACGGUUUAUGCCAACAGAUUGUGGCCUAAAACAUACCAAAUGACACAUUCUACCAUUUAAUUAAAAUCCAUUCUUUAGCAGCCACUAAUCCCAGGCAAUUUAAUCAAUUUUUUUUUUUCUGGCAACAUGUAAACAAAAGGACUACAAAGCAUCACCGUUUCCAUCUCAAGAAUGUCACACAUGAUUUUAUUAUGGAAAUGCAACAUUAGCCAUUUUUCACCUUGCUGGAUUUGGACCACUUGAACAGAAUGUGUAAAUCCUGCAGUUUUACAAAUGCACAUCAUCCAUUGAAGUCAAUAAGAUCACUCACUUCCUUAAAGUUAAGCCCUGAUUAAGUGCUUCUGCGGACCGGGGCCUCUAGGAAAAACAGCUCCAGAGUCUGUACUUCGGUGAGAUAGCAGCCCAAGCACUUUUCUAAAUCAAAACAAAAUCUUCUACUUGGCAGGAUAGGAAGUGGUGUUGAUUUCUGCGUUUACCCACCGGUGAAAUCUGAGCCUUUAAACCGAAUUUCAUCAACAUUUCUGGAUCCUAUGUCAUUGUCUGAGAAUAGCACUGAAUUUUGGGGAAAUCUAGGAAAAGAGCAGCCUUCCUUUAAAUGAGAAAUUGACGGUCCUGUUCACAUUUAAAGUGGAAAUCUUAAACAAGAUUCAGUGCAAUGGCAAUCACAGAGUUCUCUGCUAAUGUGUUUUUUCUAAUUUUCCUGUCUUUUACAAAUCUUUUCUUUGCUGAUGUGCAAGAGACAGAACUAACCCACUGGGAAACGAAAAGAAAUAUUUGCCAUUAGCUGCACAUCGGUCAGAGAUCUUUUCUGUUGUCAGCUGUAGCGGCCAGGCCUGGCCAAUGCAUACAAGAAACAGUCAGACAGUUUUCAGACUCAUAAAAUAAACAAGAUUAGUAACUUGGUUGUAAAUAAGCGGCAUCUUCCAGGACUAAAGUAGUUUUUUCUUAACCUUUUUCAGGAGCACUUUUUAUAUGGCACAAUACAAGCAUUACCUAUAGUCUAGAAUAUUUAUCAACUGGUGUUUCUAGGACCAGAUUACAGUGGCUUCCAUGUCUUCACCAAGAAAAAUGAUUUCUUGUAGAAUAUUUGUAUGUACGGUUGGAAAUGCGUGGAUUGCAGUAGGAGAUAGCACUUUUCUUCCUUUGCAAACUGACUUUCCUUUCCUAUGUUCCAUAGCUGAUAUGCAAUUCUGAGGAGGGAGGGAGUAAAAAUUAAUUUUUUUUUCCUGAUGUACUCUGUUUCUAACCCAUUUCUGUAUUGGCUGACCAUUCACAAUCUCUAGUCCAACAGCUCUAAGUCCUUUAGAUGGAGCCCCACCUUCCCCUUUUGCAGUGGUUAUUAAUUCUCUCCUUCCCACACCUAUCUUCAGUCCUCACCCUUUUGCAUGUACAUGCACAUUCACGCUCUGGAUAACCCCAGAUUCCAGCAGGCCAAUUUUCAGUUGCCUCAGCCUCCCAAAGUAUAAUCGGGAGACAGUCACUCAUGCUGCUGCUUUCUCCCCAUAUGAGUCCUACCCUUUGAGUUCCAGCUAAGUUCCCCCUGGUGCCAAUUUCCCAUGGCCCUUCUGCACAGGGGACACCAAAUGAAGAGAGAGAGGCUCUGCAAAGGCUGGAAGAGGAGGAGGGAGAGCCCAGAUGAAGCUUCCUUGAGACUUCUGCAUCCCAACCACCCCUUGCUUUCCCAAGCGGGCCACCUCCUGGCUUGAGAGUUCUGGCUUUGAUGCAUUCAUACUUCAAGCACUCCUUCACACUGAGAAGUUCAGUUGUCCCUACUUCACCAUUAAGGAACUGAGACCAGGUGGGAGGAAGGCUGAGUGCACCAACAUUUCUCCCAGCUCCAGCAGCUCCAGGUGACUGCUGUAACCAUCUGGCAUGGACUUUUGGGGUGUUGGAGCAACUCAUGAAGCUGCACGGUGUGCCAGUUACUCAAGGGAGUAGAGAUAAUUUCUUUUUAUCCAGAUCCUUGCACUGCCUCACCCAAUGGCCCAACUUUGGCGUAACAGAAAGGGGAAAGAGAUGGGACCGAGCACACAUGGCGUUACCUAUUUUUUUCUGCCUGGCCUGUGAGGAGGCCUGGGGGGGAUGAACAGGGCCUGUCCAACCAGCACUAUGGCCAAAGGAUACGUGAUGUCUUAACAUUAUUAACAGGCACUCUCUUCCAAAGCCCAGCUGAGCCACUAAAAAAUUACUGCCCCCCUUUUUUUUUGCCAGCAUCACCCCCACCGGAUAUGAAUGCUCCUCACAUCUGGCGGUGCAGGUGCUAGUAUGUGUGUUUCCCGGCACAUCUCAGAUCAAAUGAGCCAGGUUACUGGACUUAGUCUGCAUUACCUCAGACCCAUUUGCCUAAAUAAGAUUAGGAUAAGUCAACUAGCAGAUCUGAGGAGACAGCUGACUCUGGCAGAGGGACAAAAAAUAGCUGGUAGGUGGCAAUAAGCACAGUGUUUAUGGAGACUGCAUCCCACUAGACCCUAAAUGUUGACCAUGGUGAUGCAUGUAAGUCAUACUGCUGGACCAUGUUUUUUUACUCAUGCAGUGGCUCAACACAGCCUUGAAACUGCAAAAGGUGGCUCACUGUUUUUGCCUAAGAGUGCAAGGUGGGAGCUGCUCCUCACAUAGGCGGCAGCUGAAAUACCUGCUGUCAGUUAUGCAGGCCCUCCCCAAGGGCUCCUGUCCCAGCAGACAGGACGUCACCACCAACUGCCAUCCGGGUGCUUUGCUUUCACAUCCUCUCUGCCACGACACGUCUGACUGCCAAAGCCACAGCCAAGUCCUUGCUAUGACAGUGAAGUAUUUCUCAAGAAAAGCAACCCCCAUGGUUGGCUCCCUGCUCCAGCUGAGAGCUGAACUGUGCUAAGAAAAGAUUUUUUUACAUCAUGGAUGUAAACCACUUCAAGAUACAUAUCUCUAUACAAUCUCAGCGUGUUAGCUGUGUAGGGCCUGAUCCUGAGAAUGCUUAGUGAUUCCUGUAGUCCUUGCUCCUGUUAAACCAUAGCAUUUAGUGACAGAACUUUAGCAGAUAUCAUAUGGUGAGGACUGGUCUGUUUAAAACAUCUGUUUCUUCUUGUUUAAAUUUAAAAAGAAAUGUUAUUAAAAUUAGAACAACGAUUUCAUUAAUCCAAAAUAUCAACUACUUAUUUAACAAAGACUUAACAACAUGAAUCAUCUGCGUUAACAAAUCCAGAUGCUAUAGUCAGAGGCAGCAAAGAUUCAGGGGCUGACAAUAAGCUUGCUUUGUAUACUAAUUAAUUUUCUGCUAUUUGUUUUUCAUUCUAAACAGACCAUCCCUAAUAUUUUAUCUCUCUUGGUGGAUGUUAGGGACAUUAUAAGUGAAUGACAAAAUACCAGCUUCUCCCUUUAAAAAGUAACAGACAAAUUUUAUUAAGAUUUUUCUAGUCUUGAUUUUGUCUUUUCAGCAGACUUCAUAAAAAAUGAAAUGUGUGCAGAUCUUUUUGCCAUGUUACAGCUGUUUUCUUCUCACCCAGAGGAUUGGACAAAUGUGGUUUUCAUUUAACUACAUUUAAAUUUAAAUUGCCACACCAUUCUAGACUGGAUGUAAACUUACUGUGCUUACUGUCCAAGAAGAAAGGAGCCUAAUUUGGGAACUGCUAUCCAUGGUGAUUCUCACCAGCUAGAAAUCAGGGACUGCACUCAUUCUCAGAAAAGGACACAACAUGUAAAAUCAUCAAAAUUGUCUUCUUUUUGCUUUUCUCUGAGGGGCUGGUCCUACUGAAUGGGCAUUUUCAAAGCACCUCGUGACAGCAGAAUUAGAGUUCAGCAGGAGUGAAGUGAGGCCAGUACUAAACACUUUUCUGAUUUAAUUUUAAUAUGUAUCAUUUUUUUUUAUAGGGAUCUUAUUUGCACAGCUCCAUUGAGCCAUGUAUUUGAAAAGCACUCCUGAUUAAUUGGGUUGGAUCGGUAUGAAUGAAUUAGGUCAUCUCUAUUUUAUGUCUGUUUUGAAGUUCACCAUUGUGAUCUUCACCCCAUUCAGUGCUUCAUCCUGCUUAAAAGACUUAUUACUAACUUUACUUGGGCAGGAAAGGGAAUCAUUAAAAGAACUAUGCAAGCCUCUUGAGUACAGUCGAUUCUAUUACAAAUUAUAAAUCCAACUUACUACUUAGCUAAGGGAAAUGAUUUUCUAAAUUUCAAAAGCAGAGGAAUCAUGAGUUGGCUGGUGUGAAACUUCCAUUAUUAUGGACCAAAUCUGAAUCCAAGAUCUCUGUUCAUAGGGUGAUGUCUGUACCAGCUUAAAAGUAACCUGCUUUUUUUUUCUUUGUGUGUAUAUUUGUAUGUGUUUGUGUAUAUUUUGCUCCUAUCUUCUUUAAAGACCGCAAAACCAACUGAUUUCAGUGUUUUGAAAUAUUUAUCUCAACUAUUCACUAAAAACAAAUUCAUGUUUCACUUGGAAAUACAACUAAGGUGUAA